rnacentral:tRNA from 1 species
GCCUUGGUGGCACAGUGGUUAAGUGCUAGGCUGCUAACCAAAAGGCUGGAGGUUCAAACCCACCCCGCAGCU